UUAAGCGACUAAGCGUACACGGUGGAUGCCCUGGCAGUCAGAGGCGAUGAAGGACGUGCUAAUCUGCGAUAAGCGUCGGUAAGGUGAUAUGAACCGUUAUAACCGGCGAUUUCCGAAUGGGGAAACCCAGUGUGUUUCGACACACUAUCAUUAACUGAAUCCAUAGGUUAAUGAGGCGAACCGGGGGAACUGAAACAUCUAAGUACCCCGAGGAAAAGAAAUCAACCGAGAUUCCCCCAGUAGCGGCGAGCGAACGGGGAGCAGCCCAGAGCCUGAAUCAGUGUGUGUGUUAGUGGAAGCGUCUGGAAAGGCGCGCGAUACAGGGUGACAGCCCCGUACACAAAAAUGCACAUGCUGUGAGCUCGAUGAGUAGGGCGGGACACGUGGUAUCCUGUCUGAAUAUGGGGGGACCAUCCUCCAAGGCUAAAUACUCCUGACUGACCGAUAGUGAACCAGUACCGUGAGGGAAAGGCGAAAAGAACCCCGGCGAGGGGAGUGAAAAAGAACCUGAAACCGUGUACGUACAAGCAGUGGGAGCCUCUUUAUGGGGUGACUGCGUACCUUUUGUAUAAUGGGUCAGCGACUUAUAUUCUGUAGCAAGGUUAACCGAAUAGGGGAGCCGAAGGGAAACCGAGUCUUAACUGGGCGUUAAGUUGCAGGGUAUAGACCCGAAACCCGGUGAUCUAGCCAUGGGCAGGUUGAAGGUUGGGUAACACUAACUGGAGGACCGAACCGACUAAUGUUGAAAAAUUAGCGGAUGACUUGUGGCUGGGGGUGAAAGGCCAAUCAAACCGGGAGAUAGCUGGUUCUCCCCGAAAGCUAUUUAGGUAGCGCCUCGUGAAUUCAUCUCCGGGGGUAGAGCACUGUUUCGGCAAGGGGGUCAUCCCGACUUACCAACCCGAUGCAAACUGCGAAUACCGGAGAAUGUUAUCACGGGAGACACACGGCGGGUGCUAACGUCCGUCGUGAAGAGGGAAACAACCCAGACCGCCAGCUAAGGUCCCAAAGUCAUGGUUAAGUGGGAAACGAUGUGGGAAGGCCCAGACAGCCAGGAUGUUGGCUUAGAAGCAGCCAUCAUUUAAAGAAAGCGUAAUAGCUCACUGGUCGAGUCGGCCUGCGCGGAAGAUGUAACGGGGCUAAACCAUGCACCGAAGCUGCGGCAGCGACGCUUAUGCGUUGUUGGGUAGGGGAGCGUUCUGUAAGCCUGUGAAGGUGUGCUGUGAGGCAUGCUGGAGGUAUCAGAAGUGCGAAUGCUGACAUAAGUAACGAUAAAGCGGGUGAAAAGCCCGCUCGCCGGAAGACCAAGGGUUCCUGUCCAACGUUAAUCGGGGCAGGGUGAGUCGACCCCUAAGGCGAGGCCGAAAGGCGUAGUCGAUGGGAAACAGGUUAAUAUUCCUGUACUUGGUGUUACUGCGAAGGGGGGACGGAGAAGGCUAUGUUGGCCGGGCGACGGUUGUCCCGGUUUAAGCGUGUAGGCUGGUUUUCCAGGCAAAUCCGGAAAAUCAAGGCUGAGGCGUGAUGACGAGGCACUACGGUGCUGAAGCAACAAAUGCCCUGCUUCCAGGAAAAGCCUCUAAGCAUCAGGUAACAUCAAAUCGUACCCCAAACCGACACAGGUGGUCAGGUAGAGAAUACCAAGGCGCUUGAGAGAACUCGGGUGAAGGAACUAGGCAAAAUGGUGCCGUAACUUCGGGAGAAGGCACGCUGAUAUGUAGGUGAAGUCCCUCGCGGAUGGAGCUGAAAUCAGUCGAAGAUACCAGCUGGCUGCAACUGUUUAUUAAAAACACAGCACUGUGCAAACACGAAAGUGGACGUAUACGGUGUGACGCCUGCCCGGUGCCGGAAGGUUAAUUGAUGGGGUCAGCGCAAGCGAAGCUCUUGAUCGAAGCCCCGGUAAACGGCGGCCGUAACUAUAACGGUCCUAAGGUAGCGAAAUUCCUUGUCGGGUAAGUUCCGACCUGCACGAAUGGCGUAAUGAUGGCCAGGCUGUCUCCACCCGAGACUCAGUGAAAUUGAACUCGCUGUGAAGAUGCAGUGUACCCGCGGCAAGACGGAAAGACCCCGUGAACCUUUACUAUAGCUUGACACUGAACAUUGAGCCUUGAUGUGUAGGAUAGGUGGGAGGCUUUGAAGUGUGGACGCCAGUCUGCAUGGAGCCGACCUUGAAAUACCACCCUUUAAUGUUUGAUGUUCUAACGUUGACCCGUAAUCCGGGUUGCGGACAGUGUCUGGUGGGUAGUUUGACUGGGGCGGUCUCCUCCUAAAGAGUAACGGAGGAGCACGAAGGUUGGCUAAUCCUGGUCGGACAUCAGGAGGUUAGUGCAAUGGCAUAAGCCAGCUUGACUGCGAGCGUGACGGCGCGAGCAGGUGCGAAAGCAGGUCAUAGUGAUCCGGUGGUUCUGAAUGGAAGGGCCAUCGCUCAACGGAUAAAAGGUACUCCGGGGAUAACAGGCUGAUACCGCCCAAGAGUUCAUAUCGACGGCGGUGUUUGGCACCUCGAUGUCGGCUCAUCACAUCCUGGGGCUGAAGUAGGUCCCAAGGGUAUGGCUGUUCGCCAUUUAAAGUGGUACGCGAGCUGGGUUUAGAACGUCGUGAGACAGUUCGGUCCCUAUCUGCCGUGGGCGCUGGAGAACUGAGGGGGGCUGCUCCUAGUACGAGAGGACCGGAGUGGACGCAUCACUGGUGUUCGGGUUGUCAUGCCAAUGGCACUGCCCGGUAGCUAAAUGCGGAAGAGAUAAGUGCUGAAAGCAUCUAAGCACGAAACUUGCCCCGAGAUGAGUUCUCCCUGACCCUUUAAGGGUCCUGAAGGAACGUUGAAGACGACGACGUUGAUAGGCCGGGUGUGUAAGCGCAGCGAUGCGUUGAGCUAACCGGUACUAAUGAACCGUGAGGCUUAACCUU
rnacentral:rRNA from 1 species